rnacentral:rRNA from 1 species
AUAGCGUAUAUUAAAGUUGUUGCAGUUAAAAAGCUCGUAGUUGAAUUUUGGUCCUGGCUGGGUGGUCUUGCCGCAAGGUUAGCACUGCUCUGGUUGGGACUUUCCUUCUGGGGAACCUGUGUGCGCUUAAUUGAGUGCGCAGGGGAUCCAGGACUUUUACUUUGAAAAAAUUAGAGUGUUUAAAGCAGGCGUAAGCUUGAAUACAUUAGCAUGGAAUAAUAGAAUAGGACUUUGGUUCUAUUUUGUUGGUUUCUAGGACCGAAGUAAUGAUUAAUAGGGACAGUUGGGGGCAUUAGUAUUUAAUUGUCAGAGGUGAAAUUCUUGGAUUUAUGAAAGACUAACUUCUG